AUACGGAGGGUGCAAGCGUUAAUCGGAAUUACUGGGCGUAAAGCGUACGUAGGCGGUUAUUUAAGUCAGAUGUGAAAGCCCCGGGCUUAACUUGGGAACUGCAUUUGAAACUGGGUAACUAGAGUUUAGUAGAGGGGAGUGGAAUUUCAGGUGUAGCGGUGAAAUGCGUAGAGAUCUGAAGGAACACCAGUGGCGAAGGCGACUCCCUGGACUAAAACUGACGCUGAGGUACGAAAGCGUGGGUAGCAAACAGGAUUAGAAACCCCGGUAGUCC
rnacentral:rRNA from 1 species